rnacentral:rRNA from 1 species
CACGUAGGGUGCGAGCGUUGUCCGGAAUUAUUGGGCGUAAAGAGCUCGUAGGCGGUGUGUCGCGUCGGCCGUGAAAACCUGCAGCUUAACUGUGGGCUUGCGGUCGAUACGGGCAUCACUGGAGUUCGGCAGGGGAGACUGGAAUUCCUGGUGUAGCGGUGAAAUGCGCAGAUAUCAGGAGGAACACCGGUGGCGAAGGCGGGGUCUCUGGGCCGAUACUGACGCUGAGGUGCGAAAGCGUGGGGAGCAAACAGG